UGGGGAAUAUUGGACAAUGGGCGAAAGCCUGAUCCAGCAAUGCCGCGUGAGUGAUGAAGGCCUUAGGGUUGUAAAGCUCUUUUACCCGGGAUGAUAAUGACAGUACCGGGAGAAUAAGCCCCGGCUAACUCCGUGCCAGCAGCCGCGGUAAUACGGAGGGGGCUAGCGUUGUUCGGAAUUACUGGGCGUAAAGCGCGCGUAGGCGGCUUUGUAAGUCAGAGGUGAAAGCCUGGAGCUCAACUCCAGAACUGCCUUUGAAACUACAUCGCUUGAAUCAUGGAGAGGUUAGUGGAAUUCCGAGUGUAGAGGUGAAAUUCGUAGAUAUUCGGAAGAACACCAGUGGCGAAGGCGACUAACUGGACAUGUAUUGACGCUGAGGUGCGAAAGCGUGGGGAGCAAACAGG
rnacentral:rRNA from 1 species